rnacentral:rRNA from 1 species
UUGGAGGGCAAGUCUGGUGCCAGCAGCCGCGGUUAUUCCAGCUCCAAUAGCGUAUAUUAAAGUUGUUGCAGUUAAAAAGCUCGUAGUUGAAUUUCGGGAUUCGUCGGUUGGUCGGGCUUCACUGUCCGCACUGACCUGACGGAUUCCUACCUUCUGAAUAACCAGCAUGCUAUUAAGUUAGUGCGUUGGGGAAGCAGAGCUAUUACCUUGAAAAAAUUAGAGUGCUUAAAGCAGGCUUGUGCUUGAAUAGAUUAGCAUGGAAUAAUAAAAUAGGACGGCAUGGUUCUAUUUUGUUGGUUUCUAGGAUCACCGUAAUGAUUAAUAGGGAUAGUUGGGGGCAUUAGUAUUCAAUUGUCAGAGGUGAAAUUCUUGGAUUUAUCGAAGACUAACUUCUGCGAAAGCAUUUGCCAAGGAUGUUUUCAUUAAUCAAGAACGGAAGUUAGGGGAUCGAAGACGAUCAGAUACCGUCGUAGUCUUAACCAUAAACUAUGCCGACUAGGGAUCGGACGAUGUUAAUUUUUUAAUGACUCGUUCGGCGCCUUACGGGAAAC